rnacentral:tRNA from 5 species
GCGGAUAUGGCGGAAUUGGCAGACGCGCUGGUUUUAGGUACCAGUGGGCAACCGUGCAGGUUCAAGUCCUGUUAUCCGCAUCA